UACGGGGGGGCAAGCGUUGUUCGGAAUUACUGGGCGUAAAGGCUCGUAGGCGGCCAACUAAGUCGGAUGUGAAAUCCCCAGGCUUAACCUGGGAACUGCAUCCGAUACUGGAUGGCUUGAAUCCGGGAGAGGGAUGCAGAAUUCCAGGUGUAGCGGUGAAAUGCGUAGAUAUCUGGAGGAAUACCGGUGGCGAAGGCGGCAUCCUGGACCGGCAUUGACGCUGAUGAGCGAAAGCUAGGGGAGCAACGGG
rnacentral:rRNA from 1 species